GUGAAGUUAAAUUUUGGAUUGCCCUUGCUUUUGACCUUAGGUGAGGAUCUUUUUAACUAUGCAAAGGGCUAUGUGAAGUGAUUCCUGUAAAAAAAACUUGAGUUAUGCAUUACAGACAGAGCUUGUUUCAUUGCACUUCACUUUAUUUGCUUCCCAGAUGUGUUUUUGUUUUGUUUUGUUUUGUUUCUACAAAUUCAAGGUUUUUAACAACACUGUAUUGCUGGACAAUGGCUAGGGUUUUUUAGCAAUAAAGUAUUUUUUUAAGGCAUAUACUUUUUUUUAAGACAUCAUGCCAUUACACAGAUGAUAGUGUAAAUAGAACUUUUAUAUGCACUGGGAAACCAUAAAAAUCUGUGGGACUCACUCCCUUGCUAUAUUUGCUUUAUUGUGGUGGCCUAGAAUUGAACCCACAAAAUCUCCGAGGUGUGCCUGUAUUACCAUUAAUAUAAAGUAAAUUCUUAAACAUUGAUGGAAGGGGCCGUACAUUUUCUUAAAGGUGAUUUUGCUUUCUACAUGUUUCUCCAUUUCAGUUAACAGAAAGCUUUUAAAUGAGUGGUUCUUUACCAUGUGUCUGAAUAACCUAGUGUAAACAGAGUCAUUUUCUGGCCUAACUUGCAAAGAUUCUGAUUUUGGAGAUCUAUGGUGUUACCUAGAUCUUUAAUGUGGACCACACUUGGAGAGAGGAGCCUUGAGCAGAAAAUGCCUGGAGGCUGUUUGGGUGUGAGCAUUGAUACAGGGCUUGCCCUAUUUUACAGUGGUCUUUAGGAGAGAGAGCUGUAAAAAUAGUUUGGGUGGUGUCAGUUUAGAAGAAGAAAGAAAAGUAAAAUGCCUAUAGGGAAAAAAAGAAAGGGGCAAAGAGAUCUGAUGAGGCCUAUGAAGAGUUCUUGAGGUCUCCAGUGCCAGAAGGUUCGUGGGGAUUGACAUUGGCUACGUUUUGUUGUUUUUGCUAUUUAUUUGCAUGUUGCCUGAAAGAAUAAGGAAAAAUUUUUUCUUAUAUAAAGUAAACACAGUUUACAGUAGCUCUUGAGUUAAAGGACGCUGCAUAUGGCUUAGAACUGGUUGAACAGCAGUAAGAGCAGGUCAUAGCAGGUCUAUGGGUUGUGGCAAAAGGAGUACCCAGCGCAAUAUUUUCAGUGUUGAAUACAUUCUUUCUUUCUUAUUUAUGGAGUUCUCAGUCUAGGAGUCAGGUCUGAGCUGCAGUUUUGACUUAUACCACAGUGUGGCAAUGCCAGAUCCUUUAACCCACUGUGCCAGGCCAGGGAUCAAACCUGCGUCCUGGUGCUUCAGAGACACUGCCAAUCCCAUUGCAUUACAGCGGGAACUUCUUGAAUGCAUUGUUUAGAAAGUAAUUUGGAAGGCUUGCAAUUCAGAAAGUUGGGUGUGGUGUUGGUGAUGGGAAACGAAACAAUUAAGCAAAAGUAAAAGACCAAAGGAAAAAACCCCACAUAAACUUUGCAAGAAUAAGUUAUACAUUGGAGUUUGGUAAAAAUAGCAGUUGAACAUGUUAGCACACACACAUUCCUGGAACUUCACUAAAACAGUAAUAAAGACGUUAAAAAUUGAGAGGCAUAAAUUUGCAAGGACAAUGAAAAUAAGCUGAUGAUAACAUUUUGGAAGCUUGAAAGCAGGUGAGAGUUGUGACUUUUAGCAGAACUGAGGAAGGUGGAUCCUGAGCCACAUUUGAGGGAAGCUGAGCAGCCCUCCAGUGUGGCAGAAUUCCCAGAAAGGCGUAAGAAUUGGGGAUUCAGAUACCCCUGGAAAUAGAGGAUGCUGGUAGGGUGAAGAACAGGAAAAUGGGCUAUAAGACUUUAAGAAGCACUUAGAUUCCCACUCUUCUCUGAAGCAGUAUAGCAAGAAUUUGGGGUGUCGGGGAGCCACAUUGAAUGUUAGGUCCUUCUCUGUUAUGUUCUACCUUCUACCCCUGGUUCUACCCAGAACCUCCCAACUAGAUUCAUGUACUUUCUAGGCUGGAAAUCAGAACUUUGGGAGAUCUGAUCAAUUCAAGAGAAGAGACCAAUGAGACUGACAUCUUAGAUUUUUCAUCACAUAAAUGGCUCAACACAGAAACUCCCCCUGUGCACAGAGAGCUUCAUUCUUUUUUCUUCAUUCUUUAUUCUCUUGCUUUGUCGUGUUCACUCGAUAAAACACAAGCUCUGAUUAAACAUAGCUCUUUGCCUCCUAUAUGCCUGCAUCCAUGCUACCAAAAGUAGCAUGGGGAAAAAGCACACUGCCCUGCAGAAUUAUCUCCCUUUAUGUUUAAGACCAGUAACUUCAAGUAGGCCCGUCAUGCUUCCCGACAGACAUACUGGGCCCCCUUCACGCCCCACUUUUGUAAACUGCUGCUCUGUACCUUUUAUCUCUCUCCUUUACUUUUUUAUUUUUUAUUUUUAUUUUUUUAUGGCCAUACCUGCAGCAUAUGGAAUUUUCCAGGGUAGAGGAUGAAUCAGAGCUGCAGCUGCUGGCCUACACCAGAGCUUACAAUAAUGCGGGAUCCUUAACCCACUGAGUGAGGCCAGGGAUUGAACCUGCAUCUUCAUGGACACUAUUGGGUUCUUAACCCACUGAGCCACAAUAGGAACUCCCCUUCUCUCUUCUUAAACCUCCAGUAUCUCCAGUCCUCACCACACUGAUUGAUUUUGCCCUUUGCUGGGAUAACUAAGGUCCAGAGAGCAGCUGUGCCCUCAGCCUGGAUACCAGAAUAAGACACAAUUCUACCUCUUCUGUUCUGAGGAGCAGAGUAUUUGUACAAUCUUUUUUUUUUUUUUUUUUUUUUUUUUUUGUCUUUUUGUCUUUUCUAGGGCUAUGCCUGCAGCACAUGGAGGUUCCCAGGCUAGGGGUCCAACUGGAGCUGUUGCCGCCGGCCUACGCCAGAGCCAUGGCAACUCGGGAUCCAAGCCGCGUCUGAGACCUACACCACAACUCACAGCAACGCCAGAUCCUUAACCCACUGAGCGAGGUCAGGGAUCGAACCCGAAACCUCAUGGUUCCUAGUCGGACUUGUUAACCACUGCGCCAUGAGAGGAACUCCUAUUUGUACCAUCUUAAAUGUUUCUCCAGGAGAAGUUAACUAGGAUGCAGGAGAAAUCACAGAAACUCUCUACAAGUUGUACAGCACCUUGGCUGGAUUAUCAAAAUGAACACCUCCAGUGAGGGGCAUUUGGAAAUUGUGUCCUUCAUACAUGUGACCUGAGAAAGGUAUGUCACUUACAAGUGUCUUAGAGAUGAUUAUUCCGAAUCUAACCAUGAGUUAUUCACCAGGCAAACCCCGCGUGGAGUAUAUUCUAUUCAAAAAGGAAUUUCCAGGAGUUCCCUGGUGGCCUUGCAAUUAAGGAUUUGGCAUGGUCCUUACUGUGGCUCAGGUUCGAUCCCUGGCCUGAGAACUUCUGCAUGCUGUGGGUGUGACCUGAAAAAAUAACAAGAAACAAAAUGAGUUUCCUUGUGCUUUUACAAAUGUAAAUGUCAUAAAAGACAGAGACUGAGACAAGAUAUUCCAAGCUAGGGGUGACUAAAAGAUUAUGACAACUAAAUGCUGUAUUUGGCUGGAUCCCUUACUAGAGGGAAAGAAAUUAGUAAUACAAAACAAAGCAGAU
rnacentral:lncRNA from 1 species